rnacentral:rRNA from 1 species
GACGCGGGCGUUCGCCGCCCUGACUCGGCGAGAAGUCCAUUGAACNUUAUCAUUUAGAGGAAGGAGAAGUCGUAACAAGGUUUCCGUAGGUGAACCUGCGGAAGGAUCAUUG